rnacentral:rRNA from 1 species
AUUGAACGCUGGCGGCAGGCCUAACACAUGCAAGUCGAGCGGGGUUUUCGGACCUAGCGGCGGACGGGUGAGUAAUGCGUAGGAAGCUACCCGAUAGAGGGGGAUACCAGUUGGAAACGACUGUUAAUACCGCAUAAUGUCUACGGACCAAAGUGUGGGACCUUCGGGCCACAUGCUAUCGGAUGCGCCUACGUGGGAUUAGCUAGUUGGUGAGGUAAUGGCUCACCAAGGCGACGAUCCCUAGCUGGUUUGAGAGGAUGAUCAGCCACACUGGAACUGAGACACGGUCCAGACUCCUACGGGAGGCAGCAGUGGGGAAUAUUGGACAAUGGGCGCAAGCCUGAUCCAGCCAUGCCGCGUGUGUGAAGAAGGCCUUCGGGUUGUAAGGCACUUUCAGUAGGGAGGAAGCGUUGUGUGUUAAUAGUACGCAGCGUUGACGUUACCUACAGAAGAAGCACCGGCUAACUCUGUGCCAGCCGCCGCAGUAACAC